rnacentral:rRNA from 1 species
CCUACGGGAGGCAGCAGUGGGGAAUAUUGGUCAAUGGGCGGAAGCCUGAACCAGCCAAGUAGCGUGCAGGAUGACGGCCCUAUGGGUUGUAAACCGCUUUUAUACGGGAAUAACGCGCCUUACGUGUAGGGCUUUGCAUGUACCGUAUGAAUAAGGACCGGCUAAUUCCGUGCCAGCAGCCGCGGUAAUGCGGCAGGUCCGGGCGUUAUCCGGAUUUCUUGGGUUUAAAGGUCGCGUAGGCGGCAGGUUAAGCGUGCUGUGAAAUUUCCGGGCUCAACCCGGGCCUUGCAGCGCGAACUGGCGUGCUUGAGUGCGCGGAAAGCAGGCGGAAUUCGUGGUGUAGCGGUGAAAUGCUUAGAUAUGACGAAGAACCCCGAUUGCGAAGGCAGCUUGCUGCAGCGGAACUGACGCUGAUGCUCGAAAGCGCGGGUAUCGAACAGGAUUAGAUACCCUGGUAGUC